rnacentral:rRNA from 1 species
AACGAACGCUGGCGGCAUGCCUAACACAUGCAAGUCGAACGAGACCUUCGGGUCUAGUGGCGCACGGGUGCGUAACGCGUGGGAACCUGCCCUUAGGUUCGGAAUAACUCCCCGAAAGGGGUGCUAAUACCGGAUAAUGUCUUCGGACCAAAGAUUUAUCGCCUUUGGAUGGGCCCGCGUUGGAUUAGCUAGUUGGUAGGGUAAAAGCCUACCAAGGCGACGAUCCAUAGCUGGUCUGAGAGGAUGAUCAGCCACACUGGGACUGAGACACGGCCCAGACUCCUACGGGAGGCAGCAGUGGGGAAUAUUGGACAAUGGGCGAAAGCCUGAUCCGGCAAUGCCGCGUGAGUGAUGAAGGCCCUAGGGUUGUAAAGCUCUUUUACCCGGGAUGAUAAUGACAGUACCGGGAGAAUAAGCUCCGGCUAACUCCGUG